GGCCUCGUCGUCUAGUGGCCCAGGACACAUGAUUCUCAUUCAUGUAACACGGGUUCGAUUCCCGUCGAGGCUG
rnacentral:tRNA from 1 species